GACUCUUUUGCAAAAUUAAGUUCCCAUCCGGAAGCAUCUUUAGUUUGGUUGGGGCUAAUACACUUUCCGAUACCAUUUACUAAUGACUUGUUGGGGUGGGGUGGGGGGUAUUUUUUAAUGAAAUAUCAUAAAUAUCAUAAAUUAUGAAAUGCCAGUCCUAAGAAUUAGGAGCAGCCUUAUUUCCAGCCUGGUCCUAUGGGUGUCUGGCAGGGACUGCUGCCGUGCUAGUGCUGGAAUAAGUCAUGCUUAAAUACCAUUGAUAGGGACGUGGGUGGCGUUGUGGUCUAAACCACAGAGCCUCUUGGGCUUGCUGAUUGGAAGGUCGGCGGUUCGAAUACCCGUGAUGGGGUGAGCUCCCGUUGCUCAGUCCCAGCUCCUGCCAACCUAGCAGUUUGAAAGCACAUAAAAGUGCAAGUAGAUAAAUAGGUACCACUGCGGCAGGAAGGUAAAUGGCAUUUCUGUGCGCUGCUCUGGUUCGCCAGAAGUGGCUUAGUCAUGCUGGCCACAUGACCCGGAAGCUGUAUGCCAGCUCCCUCAUCCAGUAAAGCGAGAUGAGCGCCACAGCCCCGGAGUCGGCCACGACUGGACCUAAUGGUCAGGGGUCCCUUUACCUUUA